rnacentral:rRNA from 1 species
GAAAUAGAACCUGAAACCCUGCACUUACAAGCUGUGGAAGCACAUUUCUUGUGUGACCGCGUACUUUUUGUAGAACGGGCCAACGAGUUACGUUAAGUAGCAAGGUUAAGCACUUAAGGUGUGGAGCCGUAGCGAAAGCGAGUUUUAACUGAGCGUUCAGUUACUUGACGUAGACCCGAAACCGGGCGACCUACCCAUGAGCAGGAUGAAGCGAAAGUAAAAUUUCGUGGAGGUCCGAACCCACGAGCGUUGAAAAGCUCGGGGAUGACUUGUGGGUAGCGGUGAAAUUCCAAUCGAGCCCGGAGAUAGCUGGUUCUCCCCGAAAUAGCUUUAGGGCUAGCCUCAAGGUGAGAGAUACGGAGGUAGAGCACUGAAUGUCCUAGGGG